rnacentral:rRNA from 1 species
UACGUAGGAGACGAGCGUUGUCCGGAGUUACUGGGCGUAAAGGGUGCGCAGGUGGCGGCGCGCGUGGGGGGUGAAAUCGCCCGGCUUAACUGGGCGGGGGCCUUCCAGACGGCGUGGCUUGAGCAGCGGAGGGGGACGUGGAAUUCCGGGUGGAGCGGUGAAAUGCGUUGAUAUCGGAAGGAACGCCGGUGGCGAAAGCGGCGUGCUGGCCCUCUUCUGACGCUGAGGCGCGAAAGCCAGGGGAGCGAACGGG